GACGAACGCUGGCGGCGUGCUUAACACAUGCAAGUCGAACGGAAAGGCCCUGCUUUUGUGGGGUGCUCGAGUGGCGAACGGGUGAGUAACACGUGAGUAACCUGCCCUUGACUUUGGGAUAACUUCAGGAAACUGGGGCUAAUACCGGAUAGGAGCUCCUGCUGCAUGGUGGGGGUUGGAAAGUUUCGGCGGUUGGGGAUGGACUCGCGGCUUAUCAGCUUGUUGGUGGGGUAGUGGCUUACCAAGGCUUUGACGGGUAGCCGACCUGAGAGGGUGACCGGCCACAUUGGGACUGAGAUACGGCCCAGACUCCUACGGGAGGCAGCAGUGGGGAAUAUUGCACAAUGGGCGGAAGCCUGAUGCAGCAACGCCGCGUGCGGGAUGACGGCCUUCGGGUUGUAAACCGCUUUCGCCUGUGACGAAGCGUGAGUGACGGUAAUGGGUAAAGAAGCACCGGCUAACUACGUG
rnacentral:rRNA from 1 species